rnacentral:rRNA from 1 species
CCUACGGGGGGCAGCAGUGAGGAAUAUUGGUCAAUGGGCGGAAGCCUGAACCAGCCAAGUAGCGUGCGGGAUGAAGGCCCUACGGGUCGUAACCCGCUUUUGCACGGGGAUAACCCCCUCCACUUGUGGAGGUCUGCAGGUACCGUGCGACUAAGGGCCGGCUAAUUCCGUGCCAGCAGCCGCGGGAAUACGGAAGGCCCGAGCGUUAACCGGUUUUAUUGGGUUUAAAGGGUGCGCAGGCGGCCUGUUAAGUCAGCGGUAAAAGCCCGGGGCUCAACCCCGGCGAGCCGUUGAAACUGGCGGGCUGGAGUUGGAGAGAAGUACGCGGAAUGCGCGGUGUAGCGGUGAAAUGCUUAGAUAUCGCGCAGAACCCCGAUUGCGAAGGCAGCGUACCGGCUCCACACUGACGCUGAGGCACGAAAGCGUGGGUAUCGAACAGGAUUAGAUACCCGGGUAGUC